GAUGGACAGGGGGACCAACGCGGACCGUCUGGAAGAUGCAUUCUAGGUGGACGUGCCGCAACUGUCUGUACACCCAGAAGUGCGACUACACUCUCCUCGUGAGGGCGGCUGGAAACAGGUGCUUCGGCAAGGUCAUGUCUCUGCCGAAGGACGCUGGCGAAUGGUAGUCGGGCGAGGAGAAGACAACUCCGCAAGAUCACCCCAAUCCAAGACGGAACCUCCUGCGUCGAAGGAUGCGUGGCCGAGGGGGAGCUCGGUUAUAAGCAGGCGAACUCUGCGCACCUGUCGAACCGCAGUUUCAAUUCAGACUUCCUGCGACAUCUCGGGCUCUGUCGUGGGCGACCUCCUUUCCCGUGCACUCGUGGGAAUCAAAUGAAUAGUUCAAUAGUUACAGAGUCCGAUGCUGCUCUUAAAGCAUCACAACUGCAGAAUCCUAAAGGGGAUUCAGGUCCUGGCUUUGUCAGGUUGAAAACGAAACAGAAAAAGCUGCUUAAAAAGGCCCUUCUAGGGGGCCUAACCAGAGAGAAGGCUUUAAAAAUGGUGCAAGCCAUUCCCGUUGUUAAGGGUCUUCUGCCCGCUCCAUAUAAAAUCAAUGAGUUAGUUAAUCAGACCAAUAGCGUAGUAAAACCUGUUAGAUUAGGCAUUUCCUCGGAGUCUGCUGGGACUCCCCUAACAUCCAAUCAAAUGUCCUCGAUCAAGGAGGCCAUAAUUGACGUUACAGUUGAGCAAUCAGGUAACCUGAAGCCUCAGUUUGAGGGAUGUGCCGCGCGAAAGGGUUGGCUAUUAGUAAUUUGUAGCAACUUAUUAACUGCAGAGUGGCUCAAACGUAAUUUCUCUCAUGUUCGGACCAAAGCAGGUCUAAAACUAAGGCUUAUGGGGGAAGAGGAACUGCCCCGGAAAAACGUGGUCCAAGGCUAUUUUCCCGACAGCCUGUCUACAAGCAGUAAGAAAGUUCUAGAUAUUAUAGAGGCCCAGAACCCGGUGUCCACUUCAGAGUGGAGGGUCAUGAACAGGUUGACCCACGGUGACCUUCUGCAUCUUGUCCUCACUGUUGACAAUGAGUCCCACAAAAAACUGGUCGACCUAGAUGGGAUUAUCUCCUUUCGCUUCGGACGUUUAAAACUUAGUAUGAGGGAACCCUUGAACAAGAGAAAAUCUUUACUGAACGCCAAAGAGGGCACAACAAGUAUAUCGCAAUCCACAGAGACAAGGUGGCCAAAUCCGGCAGUUGUUCCUGAUCGUCAACGAACAGUAGUAGGAAAUGACGGUCCAUGGAACUACAUUAAUUCAUGGAACAGCUUCGAAAACCCUUGGAACAUCUGCAAUAGCCCAUGGAACCAUUGGGAUCAGCAACAUAACUUUAGGUAUGGUUCAACCGAUCCGCGGCAAUGUCCGCGGGGCUCCUUGAGUGUUGAAGAUUGUUGGGUUAGAGCUACGCCUCCUUGGCUUGGAAACAACUGAUUCGAAAUCAAGAACUCCUAGUUAAAAAAUAACAACAACUUUCGUCGCUUUUCAACGAAGAUGUAUAGUACAUCUCUUAUUCAGAGUAAUACAGAUGGCUCGAAGUAAAUAUGAACCUAUGAAUGAUCUUGGCAACGCCGGUUUUGGGUUUUCCGUUGUUUUACCGGGGGUUCACUUUUCGAUUCA